CUUGCCUUCUAGCCACAAUGCCAGGUCAAACAGUGGCCACUUGCUGAGAUUUGAGACUGAAAAUGCAGAGGUAGCGUGCUUCUCUCAAGGUGGUGACACUAACCAUGUGAACUGCUUGUGGGACCCUGAGGCAGACUACAGACUGAUGACUGAAGCUCAGCAGGGCCUGAAGGAGAGGAUAGCCUCUCAGUCGAAUUCUGUCAUAUACAAGUUCAAGAAAGCCUACCUCACAUGCCUGCUGCACAGGAGUCAUGAGAGACCAGGGGAGACUGUGUCCCAUAAUAAGGAAAGCACAGCAGGUGGUAUAAACCACCGCUUGGCUACAAACUCCAACUACUAAAAAAUAGUCACAUUGCAUCCCACAAGAUCUUGUUUUUCAUUUUUUUCUUCCUUUUCUCUUUGCUUUCACUACACCCAUUAUUUUAGUUUUAUUCUGUUUAGUAUUUUUCCUAUAUAAGCUACUUUACAUUCUUUUUGAAAUACUUUAAAAUACAAAUAAAAUUAUUUGAGAAA